rnacentral:rRNA from 1 species
CAGUCGCCACGGGAAUACGGAGGGGGCUAGCGUUGUACGGAAUUACUGGGCGUAAAGCGCACGUAGGCGGCUUUGUAAGUUAGAGGUGAAAGCCUGGAGCUCAACUCCAGAAUUGCCUUUAAGACUGCAUCGCUUGAAUCGCGGAGAGGUGAGUGGAAUUCCGAGUGUAGAGGUGAAAUUCGUAGAUAUUCGGAAGAACAUCAGUGGCGAAGGCGGCUUACUGGCUCAUUCUAGACGCUGAGGUGCGAAAGCGUGGGGAGCAAACAGGAUUAGAUACCCCUGUAGUCCCUGUCUCUUAUAU